rnacentral:rRNA from 1 species
UACGUAGGGGGCAAGCGUUGUUCGGAAUUACUGGGCGUAAAGGGCGCGUAGGCGGCACGGCAAGUCAGGAGUGAAAGCCCUGGGCUCAACCCGGGAACUGCUUUUGAAACUGCCGAGCUAGAGUGCGGAAGGGGCAACUGGAAUUCCCAGUGUAGCGGUGAAAUGCGUAGAUAUUGGGAAGAACACCUGAGGCGAAGGCGGGUUGCUGGGCCGACACUGACGCUGAUGCGCGAAAGCGUGGGGAGCAAACAGG